rnacentral:rRNA from 1 species
GAUGAACGCUGGCGGCGUGCCUAAUACAUGCAAGUCGAGCGAACAGACGAGGAGCUUGCUCCUCUGACGUUAGCGGCGGACGGGUGAGUAACACGUGGAUAACCUACCUAUAAGACUGGGAUAACUUCGGGAAACCGGAGCUAAUACCGGAUAAUAUAUUGAACCGCAUGGUUCAAUAGUGAAAGACGGUUUUGCUGUCACUUAUAGAUGGAUCCGCGCCGCAUUAGCUAGUUGGUAAGGUAACGGCUUACCAAGGCAACGAUGCGUAGCCGACCUGAGAGGGUGAUCGGCCACACUGGAACUGAGACACGGUCCAGACGCUUACGGGAGGCAGCAGUAGGGAAUCUUCCGCAAUGGGCGAAAGCAUGACGGAGCAACGCCGCGUGAGUGAUGAAGGUCUUCGGAUCGUAAAACUCUGUUAUUAGGGAAGAACAAAUGUGUAAGUAACUAUGCACGUCUUGACGGUACCUAAUCAGAAAGCCACGGCUAACUACGUG